CCAGGAGCUGCUGGUGGCCCUGGCACGGGGCUGGGUGCUGGGGACCCCCGGGUGACACGGGGCACUGUCCUCCCUUAGAGCCACUGGUGUGGCACAGGGCCCGGUGGGCACCGAGGGCAGGCUGGGGGACACUGUCCCCUCUGCCACCAUCACCACUGUCACUGUCACUGGGCACUGAGGACAGGCUGGGGGACACCGUCCCCUCUGCCACCAUCACCGCUGGCACUGUCACUGGGCACCGAGGGCAGGCUGGGGGACACUGUCCCCUCUGCCACCAUCACCACUGGCACUGGGCACCGAGGACAGGCUGGGGGACACCGUCCCCUCUGCCACCAUCACCACUGUCACUGUCACUGGGCACUGAGGACAGGCUGGGGGACACUGUCCCCUCUGCCACCAUCAGUGCUGGCACUGUCACUGGGCACCGAGGACAGGCUGGGGGACACUGUCCCCUCUGCCACCAUCACCACUGGCACUGUCACUGGGCACCGAGGACAGGCUGGGGGACACAGUGUCACUGUGGCUGUGUCACAGCCCUCACAGUGUCCCUGGGGGUCACAGUGUCACUCUGGCUGUGUCACAGCCCCUUCCCAGUGUCCCUGGGGGUCACAGUGUCCCUGGGGGUCACAGUGCCACUGGGGGUCACAGUGUCCCCGGGGGUCACAGUGUCCCUGGGGGUCACAGUGUCACUGUGGCAGUGUCACAGCCCUCACAGUGUCCCUGGGGGUCACAGUAUCACUGGGGGUCACAGUGUCACUGGGGGUCACAGUGUCCCUGGGGGUCACAGUGUCACUCUGGCUGUGUCACAGCCCUCACAGUGUCCCUGGGGGUCACAGUGUCCCUGGGGGUCACAGUGUCACUCUGGCUGUGUCACAGCCCUCACAGUGUCCCUGGGGGUCACAGUGUCCCCGGGGGUCACAGUGUCACUGUGGCAGUGUCACAGCCCUCACAGUGUCCCCGGGGGUCACAGUGCCACUGUGGCCAUGCCACAGACCCUUCCCAGUGUCCCCAGGAGUGGACAGUGGCCCGGUGGCUCCAUUAUGGUGACCGUGCCACUGUCCCUCCUGCUAUCCCUGCGUUGGGGACUGGCUGGUGUCCGUGCCAGGAUCCCUCCUGGUGUCCCUGGCAUGGGGGAGUGGCUGCUGGCCACAGUGGCCAUGGUGGCCACAGUGCAGUGGCUGUGCUGGAGUCCCUCCUCAUGUCCCUGCGGCUUGGAGGCUGGCCAGUGUCCUGAGUGUGGUGGCCAGUGGCUGUGGUGGCUACAGUGUGGUGGCCUCCUGGUCACCCUAGGGCUGGCUGGUGGCCACAGUGUGGUGGCCAUGGCACAGUCCCUCCUGGUGUCCCCAGGGCUGGCUGGUGGCCACAGUGUGGUGGCCAUGACACAGUCCCUCCCGGUGUCCCCAGGGCUGCCCGGUGGCCAGGGUGUGGUGGCCAUGCCACAGUCCCUCCCGGUGUCCCCAGGGCUGGCCAGUGGCCACAGUGUGGUGGCCAUGGCACAGUCCCUCCCGGUGUCCCCAGGGCUGGCCGGUGCCCAGGGUGUGGUGGCUGUGGUUAAGGUGUGGUGGCAGUGUCAGGCUCCUUCUCAGUGUCCCCAGGGCUCUGGGAGUGGCUGUGGUGUGGUGACCAGUGGCUGCAGUGGCUGGUGGCCAUGCUGGUGUCCCCAGGGCUGGCCGGUGGCCGCGGUGGCCGCGGUGGCCGCAGUGCAGUGGCCAUUCCUGGCUGAUUUGGGGCCGCUGUGGCCACCCGGAGCUGAGGCUGAGGCUGAGGCCUG
ensembl:lncRNA